rnacentral:lncRNA from 1 species
CAACCCUGAUAGCUCUCUUCCUCUUUCUUUUGUUCGUUCUCCAACCACCGACCAUUGAAUCUGGUGAUUAAGGGCUCUAAACUUAAAAGCUUGAUGAGAGGAACAAUUUGGUGACUUUGGGUUGCGAAAUAAGGGUCUGGAUCGAGAAAAAACUCGGUCGGUGUGAAGCGUCACCGCUGUGAUUCCGUCUUCUGGCGAUCCAUGCUGUUUUCGACGAGACUAGGCCUAGAGGUGGGUCUCGAUCGACUCCUCUCCUCUAGGCGAACCUUUCCCCCUCCACCAAUUCCAGUGCUGAAGCUUUAAUGACAAGACCGCCAUGGAUGGCAGUGGCAAGGCUACUGUCGAGGCCAUUUCCUGCCAAAUGAGACACACCCAGUCCAAAUUCAUCACAGAUUCUGAGUCCCCAUGAAAUUUCUAGCAUUUUGGUGUAUAUGUUGCUCAGUUCCGGCAAUAGUCGAUUUUUCAGCCAUCGUGUACAGUGGCCGACGUCGACAUUCUGGUGACCAGUCUGCAAGACUCCGGCGGGGCCAUAGGAGCCAGAAUUCUUAUCUCGAUUCGGGCAGUGGGAUGGAGUUAACGAAAUUUCUAUUGGUGAGCCCUAAGACUUUGAUACUAAAUUUUUCGAUAAUAAUAAGAGUUUGUUGAUCAAAUUUUAUUGUUUCAAUUUAGUUGAGCUAAAUGUAUAACUAAAACAGAAAUUUAUUAAAAUGUUAACUUAACUAAGUCAGUUGAUAGAUUAACCUAAAUCGAAGGGAAGUUAGAUUAAAAUCCGAUAUCUGGUUAUCGUUUUGGUGGAUAUCCACUUAUUAUUUAUAUAGUUCAAAUGGUAUGUAAAUAAUGGAGAAUGAGUUUUGAUUAAAGAUAAUGCAUGAUGGAUGGGCUGUAUAUUGAUUUGUGCCUUUGACACAGUGAUUUGACGCUAUCCCGAUUUACAAGGGAGAUGCAACUAAAUUUUCUGUAAAAUGUAUAAUAAUGAAUUAAAAUAAUUAUAUCAUUAAGAGAAAUAACUAAUAAAAUUACCGGUACUCGUAUUACUAAUAUAAUAAUAAUAAUAAAUAAAGUUAUUAUUUAUUAUUAUUAUUAUUACUACUACUUACCAAAGGACUGCAAAAUUUAUUAAAGUUUAUAUAUUAGAGUAAAUAAGUAAAUAAAGUAAUCAUAGAUAUACGAUUUGAUAAGUUAAGACGAACUACUAUAUUAACCAAAAUUGAUAAAUAAAUAAGAAUUAAAUUUCUAAAAUUAAAAUUCUUACUAGAAUUUUCUUUCUAGAUGCUUAUAAGGUCUAAAAUGACGAGACAAAAGUUGCAAGGGAGCUGUAACAAAGAUAGUCCUAUAGUCUUAUUAAGGACGAUAAAGAACUGUGAGCAGAGUUAGAUAACCUGC